UACCAGCUCUCCGAGUGGUGGGGACGCUUAUUGGGCCUAAAGCAUCCGUAGCCGGCUGGGCAAGUCCUCCGUUAAAUCCAACGAUUCAAUCGUUGGCCUGCAGGGGAUACUGUCUGGCUAGGAGGCGGUAGAGGCCGACGGUAUUUCCGGGGUAGGGGUUAAAUCCUAUAAUCCCGGGAGGACCAUCAGUGGCGAAGGCUGUCGGCUGGAACGCGCUCGACGGUGAGGGAUGAAAGCUGGGGGAGCGAACCGGAUUAGAUACCCGGGUAGUCCCAGCUGUAAACUUUGCAGGCUAGGUGUUGGGUUGGCCACGAGCCACCCCAGUGCCGCAGGGAAGCCGUUAAGCAUGCCGCCUGGGAAGUACGAUCGCAAGAUUGAAACUUAAAGGAAUUGGCGGGGGAGCACCACCAGGCGUGAAGCCUGCGGUUU
rnacentral:rRNA from 1 species